UUAGCCCUAAACCCAGAUAAUUUUUUAAACAAAAUUAUUCGCCAGAGUACUACUAGCAAUAGCCUGAAACUCAAAGGACUUGGCGGUGCUUCAUAUCCCUCUAGAGGAGCCUGUCCUAUAAACGAUAAACCCCGAUAGACCUUACCAACCCUAGCUAAUACAGCCUAUAUACCGCCAUCCUCAGCAAACCCUGAUAAAGGAAAUAUAGUAAGCAAGAUUGUUAAAAUACAAAAACGUUAGGUCAAGGUGUAGCUUAUGAGUUGGAAAGAGAUGGGCUACAUUUUCUCAAAACAGAAAAAAAAACGAACAUUCUUAUGAUAUUAAGAGUUAAA
rnacentral:rRNA from 1 species